rnacentral:pre_miRNA from 1 species
CUCAUGAAAUCAAUGGGGAAUAUUGGACCUGCCUGGCUCCUUGUAUGCCAUCUGCGAAGCUUGACAAAACUAUUGCCAGGGUACAUAGCUGCCAUGCAGGGAGUCAGACAGACCGUACGUCUUCCCAGAUUUACAUGC